UAAUGUCCCUGUCUUCCCUGAAGAAGUAUGUGUCACCUAGUUGGGGGCAGCCAUUUGUAGGAGCUAGCAUUUUGGCAGUUUCAGGGAAUGGAGCUAGCAUUUGGAGAGAGGCUGAACUUGAAUCUUGGGACGACAAACUCAAUAAAGGCCUGGUUGUAUUUCGUGACGAUGGAAGCUCAGAGACGGUGGGGGCAGAAGCAAUGUCAUUAUCAUUCGAGUGACAGAUCGAAGUAGACUGAUCAUAAGACUCUACGAAGGCUUGCUCAGAACCGUGAGGCAGCAAGGAAAAGCCGGUUGAGGAAAAAAGUCUACACUCCGAGGAUUGCGCCUUAUGCGAGGAAUUUGAUGUGGUUCGUGAGCAAUGGGCCAAGUUUUUUACCAGCAAGUAUUUAUUAUUGGCUUUAGCGCGCUUGAUCGAGUUGGUUUAGUUGUUAUAGAAUAAAUUUUAUAUUAAAAUGUAUGUUUAUGUUGAAAUUGGAACAUAUAUUUAAAUGUAAUAUGUGCACUUAAUUUGGUUUUGGGAUAUAUAGUAUACAAAACUCCAGUUGUUGUUUUUA